AUGGGCGUGCGCUCAAAGGAUACAAACAUGGAUUCGCAAACAAAAAGGGGAAUUCGUAGUCACUUUUUCCUGUCGCGUAAAAAAAAGUCUUGCUAA
rnacentral:rRNA from 1 species